CAGUUUUACGAAGGCUUACCCCUAGCAGGGUAGGCUAGCUGCAAAAGUGGCUAUUCGUAAAGCACACACACACACACACACACACACAGUGAGGUGAGUGACUACAAACGACAAUCCACACUCCGUGCUCCAAACACCACCACCACCAGGAUACUAGGACAGCUAGCCACCCGACUCAGGGGCCUAAAACACAAAGAACACAAAUUACUCAAAUGUACAAAACGAAAUUAAUCUAAAGCCUGAUUGAC